rnacentral:ncRNA from 1 species
CAGUACGUGAAAUUGUCAAAAGGGAAGCGUUUGACACCAGUGUUGUUUUCUCGAAAAAUCAAUUAAAAAGAGUUAGAUUUUGUUGUGUAUUGACCUUAACAGCUUGCAUUUCAAUUUUCUUGUCUUUUUUUAAUGCACUUUUCGUUUAACAAGUCAACAUCAGUUUCUUUUGUUGUAAAAAGGUCAUUGGAAGGUGGCUUUCUUUUCGGAGAAAGUGUUUAUAGCCUUUGACUCCUGCAAUCGGAGAGACUGAGGUCUGCAGCGUAGAUCCUUCGGGGUUAGAUACAUUUGUGCUAAGUUAUAGCUUUUUAUAGACAACUUGUUGACUAUGAUUAGUCUUGUAGCUUACUCGCUUAUGCUAUUUUACCUACGCUUAGGAUGUUGACAAAAUGGUUUUAAACGACCCGUCUUGAAACACGGACCAAGGAGUCUAACAAAUAUGCGAGUAUUUGAGUGGAAAACUCAUAUGCGUAAUGAAAGUGAUUUUGGUGGGAUUUUCGAUGCACCAUCAACCGGUCAGGAUUUUUAUGAAGGAUCUGAGUCUAAGCAUAUUUG